rnacentral:rRNA from 1 species
AACGAACGCUGGCGGCAGGCUUAACACAUGCAAGUCGAGCGCCCCGCAAGGGGAGCGGCAGACGGGUGAGUAACGCGUGGGAAUCUACCCAUCUCUACGGAAUAACGCAUGGAAACGUGUGCUAAUACCGUAUACGUCCUUCGGGAGAAAGAUUUAUCGGAGAUGGAUGAGCCCGCGUUGGAUUAGCUAGUUGGUGGGGUAAAGGCCUACCGAGGCGACGAUCCAUAGCUGGUCUGAGAGGAUGAUCAGCCACACUGGGACUGAGACACGGCCCAGACUCCUACGGGAGGCAGCAGUGGGGAAUAUUGGACAAUGGGCGCAAGCCUGAUCCAGCCAUGCCGCGUGAGUGAUGAAGGCCCUAGGGUUGUAAAGCUCUUUCACCGGUGAAGAUAAUGACGGUAACCGGAGAAGAAGCCCCGGCUAACUUCGUGCCAGCCGCCGCGGUAAGAC